rnacentral:rRNA from 1 species
AUUGAACGCUGGCGGCAUGCCUUACACAUGCAAGUCGAACGGCAGCACGGGUGCUUGCACCUGGUGGCGAGUGGCGAACGGGUGAGUAAUACAUCGGAACGUACCUUAUCGUGGGGGAUAACGCAGCGAAAGCUGUGCUAAUACCGCAUACGCCCUGAGGGGGAAAGCGGGGGAUCGCAAGACCUCGCGCGAUUAGAGCGGCCGAUGCCUGAUUAGCUAGUUGGUGGGGUAAAAGCCCACAAAGGCGACGAUCAGUAGCUGGUCUGAGAGGACGAUCAGCCACACUGGGACUGAGACACGGCCCAGACUCCUACGGGAGGCAGCAGUGGGGAAUUUUGGACAAUGGGGGCAACCCUGAUCCAGCAAUGUCGCGUGAGUGAAGAAGGCCUUCGGGUUGUAAAGCUCUUUUGUCAGGGAAGAAACACCGGCUCUAACACAGUCCGGGAAUGACGGUACCUGAAGAAUAAGCACCGGCUAACUACGUGCCAGCCGCCGCGGUAA